rnacentral:rRNA from 1 species
UGGGGAAUAUUGGACAAUGGGCGCAAGCCUGAUCCAGCCAUGCCGCGUGAGUGAUGAAGGCCCUAGGGUUGUAAAGCUCUUUCAGCGAGGAGGAUAAUGACGUUACUCGCAGAAGAAGCCCCGGCUAACUUCGUGCCAGCAGCCGCGGUAAUACGAAGGGGGCUAGCGUUGUUCGGAAUCACUGGGCGUAAAGCGCACGUAGGCGGACUUUUAAGUCAGGGGUGAAAUCCCGGGGCUCAACCUCGGAACUGCCUUUGAUACUGGAAGUCUGGAGUCCGAGAGAGGUGAGUGGAACUCCGAGUGUAGAGGUGAAAUUCGUAGAUAUUCGGAAGAACACCAGUGGCGAAGGCGGCUCACUGGCUCGGUACUGACGCUGAGGUGCGAAAAGCGUGGGGAGCAAACAGGACUAGAUACCCUGGUAGUCCACGCCGUAAACGAUGGAAGCUAGCCGUCAGGGUGCAUGCAUCUUGGUGGCGCAGUUAACGCAUUAAGCUUCCCGCCUGGGGAGUACGGUCGCAAGAUUAAAAACUUAAAGGAAUUGACGGGGU